rnacentral:RNase_P_RNA from 1 species
UAUGCAAUGAGUUUAAGCUCAAAACAUCCUGCAAAUAUACAUACACAAAAUGAAAGAAAGAAAUAAAAAAGAAAAAAGAAAAAAUGGAAAAAUAGGUCACAUAUUUGUAUGUUUCUUGUUUUUCCAUUUUUUUUUUUUUUUUUUUUUUCCUUUUUUUUUUUUUUUUUUUUUUUCCUUUUUCUUUCUCCUAAUUUGUGUAAUUUUUAUAAAAACAGGAAGGAAGGUCUGAGAUGCUGCAUUUAAAGAAUAGAAAAGAAAAGUCAAUGAAUUUUAAUUUUUUUUUUUUUUUUUUUUUAUAAUUCUUAUGAAUUAAAAAGAAAGAAAAAAAAAGUUAUAACAUUCGUUGUUACUUUUUAUUUCACAUAUAUAUAUAUAUAUAUUCUUUAAUAAAAUUUUUGAGAGAAAAAGUAUUGAACAAAUAUUAAUUAGUUACCAGAAAUAUCAAUCAUAUAUUUAAAAUUUCGUAAGAAGUUUUGUGUAUGGUUUUGAAAAAGCUAAUAAGCAAGUAUACAUUGGUGAGUUCGAUUUUUGAGGUUUUUCUUUAUUCCUACAUCUCAUAUAUCAAUAUUUUUUUUAUAAUUAUAUAUUAUACGAGGUGAUAAUAAGAAAAAUAACUUAAUUCAGACUACUCCUAAAUUCAUUGCUGCAA